rnacentral:rRNA from 1 species
UACGUAGGGUGCAAGCGUUAAUCGGAAUUACUGGGCGUAAAGCGUGCGCAGGCGGUUCUAUAAGACAGAUGUGAAAUCCCCGGGCUCAACCUGGGAACUGCAUUUGUGACUGUAGAGCUGGAGUACGGUAGAGGGGGAUGGAAUUCCGCGUGUAGCAGUGAAAUGCGUAGAUAUGCGGAGGAACACCGAUGGCGAAGGCAAUCCCCUGGACCUGUACUGACGCUCAUGCACGAAAGCGUGGGGAGCAAACGAGGAU